rnacentral:rRNA from 1 species
AGCGAACGCUGGCGGCAGGCUUAACACAUGCAAGUCGAGCGGGCAUCCUUGUGGUGUCAGCGGCAGACGGGUGAGUAACGCGUGGGAACGUGCCCUUCGGUUCGGAAUAACUCAGGGAAACUUGAGCUAAUACCGGAUACGUGCGAGAGCAGAAAGGUUUAUCUGCCGAAGGAUCGGCCCGCGUCUGAUUAGCUAGUUGGUGAGGUUACGGCUCACCAAGGCGACGAUCAGUAGCUGGUCUGAGAGGAUGAUCAGCCACACUGGGACUGAGACACGGCCCAGACUCCUACGGGAGGCAGCAGUGGGGAAUAUUGGACAUUGGGGGCAACCCUGAUCCAGCCAUGCCGCGUGAGUGAUGACGGCCUUAGGGUUGUAAAGCUCUUUUCUCCGGGACGAUAAUGACGGUACCGGAGGAAUAAGCCCCGGCUAACUUCGUG